GAACAAAAAAAUAAUAUGCCACCAAUAUAAACGGACAGUUUGUUAAACCGUACAUAUUAUAAUUUUCAGCUCAUCGGAGUGAGAUGAUUAGAUAAAGAUGGAUGAAGAUAGCUGUUUCUUCGGCGAUGGCGGCACUCUAGCUACGUUUCACCGGAAGAGUAGAUGUUUACGAAGAUGGUAUUCGUCAUUGAACAUUUGCCAACUGGGGUCUGGAAAUAAUAUAUCAUAUUAAGCAGAGGGAAAUGAGCAGUUAGCGGUGCAGAGUUUCAAAGACUAAGUUUUAUAGCAGAUUUCGAU